UUCGGGUUCGCAUUGUAAUUUGUAGAGGAUGAUUUGGGGAAGCCGCCUGUCUAAGUUCCUUGGAACAGGACGUCAUAGAGGGUGAGAAUCCCGUAUGUGACAGGAAAUGGCACCCUAUGUAAAUCUCCUUCGACGAGUCGAGUUGUUUGGGAAUGCAGCUCUAAAUGGGAGGUAAAUUUCUUCUAAAGCUAAAUAUUGGCGAGAGACCGAUAGCGCACAAGUAGAGUGAUCGAAAGAUGAAAAGCACUUUGGAAAGAGAGUUAAAAAGCACGUGAAAUUGUUGAAAGGGAAGCGCUUGCAAUCAGACUUGUUUAAACUGUUCGGCCGGUCUUCUGACCGGUUUACUCAGUUUGGACAGGCCAGCAUCAGUUUCGGCGGCCGGAUAAAGGCUCUGGGAAUGUGGCCUCCACUUCGGUGGAGGUGUUAUAGCCCAGGGUGUAAUACGGCCAGCCGGGACUGAGGUCCGCGCUUCGGCUAGGAUGCUGGCGUA
rnacentral:rRNA from 1 species